AAACAUUUUGUCUGCCGCUCCUCCCGCUCUAGGACGUCACACCACCACCAUUGCAGCGUCGACAUGGCCAAUUUUCCUUCGCCAGUGUGGGUGCGGCGCUACGUGCUCAACUUCAAUGCCGUGGCGCUGGUGCUGCUAGCGGUGCAGAACGCUGGGUUUAUAGUGUUGAUGGGCUACAUCCAGCAGCUGCAAGCUGCUGGUGGUCGGCAGGCAGCACAAGCAGGGAUGAAGACGGUGAAGACGUUUGCCGGGUCUCAUUUUAUGGUAACUGGCGAGGUGAUCAAGCUCUUCAUCUCCAUUGUGUGGUGCGGUGUUGAUGUGCUGUUUGAAAUGCAGAAGGACGCAGAGUCACUACUGCUCCCCCACGGCAACAGCGACGGUACGGGCAAAUCAACCAAGCCAUCUGAAGCGGGUAGCUUUCUCGCGUAUGAGGAGACGUCUGUGAAUUCGCUCGGAGAGAGCUGGUCAUUAUCCCAAGGGUCUACGUCCAUCUACGUCGGUGCCUGUGAAACGCAGGCGAGCAAGAAGGUACUGAAGGAUCAGGAAGUGGCGGUAGCGGCGACUGCGGAAUCGACGGCAAAUGCGGCCCCGCUGCGGGUUCUCUUUGCCCGAAAGAGGUUCGCUGCCGUAUUUCUGAGCCGCAUGCGCCAUGCCAUCGGGCUGGACCACAAGUACAAAGAGACGCUGCUCAUGAUUGUGCCCGCCAUCGUCUACGCUAUCCAGGGGCUGCUGCUCAUCUACUCCCUCAAGCUGUUGGACCCAACCGUGUUUCAGGUCCUGUACCAGGUGCGCAUCCUCUUCCUGGCAGUCAUGAUGCGGGUCGUGCUGGACUUCCGUCUCUCGCCCAUCCGGUGGGGCGCACUGGUGGCGCUGAUGUUUGGCAUCACGCUGGCACAGAUGGGCGCGCAGAGCACGCGAGCGGAUAUGACAACCAGUAAGGCAGAUGACGCUGCACGAUCAGAGAUGGAGAACGCUGCGGCGACCGAAAAGACCUCCAGCACGUGGUCAAUGGAGGGUACACUGGCUGCGCUCGCUGGCGGCUUCCUGAGCGCGUUCUCCGGUGUGUUCAUGGAGUUCGUGGUGAAGAAGCGCGGCAACCAGUUCCACCUGUCGGCGCGCAACACCCAUCUCGCGUUCUUCUCGGUCGUGUACUUCUUUAUUGUGUUCUUGUGCGAGAUCUUCCAGCCGGAAGAGGGGGCGGGCGGGCUUGAUGAGUUCACAAGCACGUUCUUCGACGGCUUCACCAGGCUGGUGUGGUUUCUGGUGGUUCUGCAGGCGAUUGGCGGGAUCCUCGUGGCUCUGGUGGUGCGCUACUGCGACAACAUCCUGAAGUCGUUCUCGACGGCGUUCGCGAUUGUGCUGAGCAGCACGGCGUCCGUGUUUCUGUUCCACACGCCGCUGAACGGGACGUUUCUGCUGGGCUCCUUCCUUGUGCUCACCUCCAUCACCAUGUACACUGUGAGGGAGUGAAGGCGGCUCAGGGGGCCACACUGUCGAAUAGUCUUUUUGUGCGUCUAUGUCCAUGUGCAUGUGCAUGCGUGUGCCUUGUGGCUGGAAUGCGAGGGCUCCUCCUCUGCAGUGUAAAAAAGCGGUGCAGUGCUCUUCGUGGACGCCUGGCAAAUGUGAAGACGGAAACGAAUGGCGGCGUAUCGUCUCAUGGCUGCUGUAUUUUUUGCGUGUAUCGCCUGUCUCCGGAAAGCUCUCUCUCCCUCUCUCACUCCCUGAUAGCGCGCUGCCGACGCUUCGUGCAUCAUGUGCCUGCGUGCGUGUGUGUGGGGCAUCGCCGUUGGAGCUGUGCUUUCGGUGCGCAAGGGGAGGGUGUGAAUGAUGACAAGCCGUGAGCCGUGUGUUUUUUUUUUGUUUCGCCUUCUUACUCUCUGGAUUCUUUGCUCAGCCCCCUCCCACGCAGCCCUGUUCAGCACCAACCCACUCUCUUUCUCUGUGUUACCUCUUCCCCUCCCUGUCGUCGCGCAAUCACCCCAACUUUAGAUGUGGAGAGCGAGAUGGGGAUAGGCAGGGGGGGUCAGGAAGAUGCGGAGGCAGGCCUUUGCGUCCCUCUGUGUGCAUGUGUGGUGGUAGUAAGCAUGUGUGGGUGAGCGGAGGCCGUUUAUUUUUCCCUUUGGGACGUGCGUAUCUGUGUGCCUGUGUCUGUUUGCAUUACACCCGACUCCACGCCCACUCGCUCUCUCUCUCGCUCCUCCCCUCUCUCCGUUUUUUUUUGUUGCCCUUGUUGUCGCGGUUUCGACUUCUCCAUGUGUUGGUGCGCCCACGCGCACACCACUGUUUCCUGAUCAUCCGUGCGCCCGUUUGGCUCGUAUGUGUGUGUGUGUGCGCCCCCAUCGACCCUCCCCCUUGUCCACGUCGAUGAUCUGUUAAACAGAGAUGCCCUCCACCCCUCCCUCCCUCUCACCGUCCCCCUACAGUAAAAAAAAGAGCGGGGGAAGCAAAAAAAAAGCGAAUAGCGAAACAGAGAAAAAAUGUGUGGUUUGGUGUGGUUUGCCGGUGUCUUUUGGUGGUGUGGCAGAAAAUGAGGUAAAGACGUUUGCUUCUCCGGUUGCUUGUUUUUCCUUAUUAUUCUGUUUCUCUACAUAUCCCAUUUUCUGUCUCUCCUAUCUGUUGACCUUUGCAGAGGGAGGGAGGGGGGAAGUGUGUAUGUGUGUGUUGAGGUGUGGAGUGGGGCCUUUCCUAGAUCCUAUGCCGCUGAGCUCACUUGGAUGAAGGCAGCCCCCCACACGUUUUUUUUUUUCGAAGACCUUCUUAUUAUCAUAAAGAGUAACAUACUUUCUCUCGCCAUCGUUUACACACACUUCUUCUCUAAAUUUUGUUUAUGUGGAGUGGCCUUGGUUUUCUUGUGUGUGUGUUGCCUGACGCACCUCUCUCUCUGGCGCAUGUGUUGUCCGCGUCUCGGGGACGCUGCAUAGGGCAAACAGACUAACACACAUACACACACAGCGGCGCGCAUCACUUUUUUUUUUGCGCUGCUCUGUGUGGGCUUAUUCGUUGUUUGAUUCGACAAGCGAGGAAAAGAAAGAGGGCUGCUUGCCGCAGUCGGCUGUCGGUGUAUGGCCUUUCUCUUCCUCCUUCCCUCGCGCCCUUCAUGUUUUCGUAUGGCUUCUUGGUAUGUAUGUCUUCUCUGCAGUUUUUCGGCAUCGCGGGUUUGACCUCUGCCGGUCGCUCUCUCGUUGUAUGCGUAUAUGAAUCUCUGAACGCGUGCGCCUCCCUUAAACGAAGUUGGUUCUCAUCCAGUACGAAGAUUUCAUUGUCUUCUCAUCCCCAGCCGUGUUUUUCCGUAUUGUUUUUAUUUUCGACGUUCGUCUGUUUUCAUUCACUCUCUGAUGAUGCCGGGCAUCUCAGCGUGGUAUCAGAGUGUAGCAUCCACUCUGUGGGGAGGCCAAGCAGCCUGUCGCGGAGCCAAAAAGACUUGCGGCCGUGAUCCUGUUUGGACCAGCUCACGACGAGUCGUGCCGACGGUUCAAGAAACAUAUGUAUCUUUCUUUUUUUCCUGCUUUCGCUGUGCGGCCGUUGUGCUGAGAACCUUGUCCUGGUCCUAGCCCGCCCUGCAUGCACUGAAAUUGAAGUAGGCGGGACGACGCCACGCGGUGUUGAUUGGCCCGGCUCCUUGAAUCCUCGAUACGGAUCUGUGCUCUGCAAGCGAUGCAUUCCACCCCGACACCCCUGCAAGGUGUUUGGACCCCUCUGGUUAUCAGCAUGCCGGUGUAGCGGUAGAGGAGAAGCACCGUUGUGGCGUCUCGGUGCCCACAACGCAGGUCAUGGGCACAGAUUUGUGCCCUCCCCUCGUUCUCAGGGACGAGGUUGCAGCAGUGACGGUCUGACUUUGCGGCGGUGACCCUACUAGACGCAUGUGCCCUCACGUCCGGCCACACAACUAGAAGUGGCCUGGUGACACAGGGAGUUCUCUCGAUGAGAUGCCAGGCAAUGUCGCAGCCAGUCCUCGCUCUAUCAGGACGGAUGCCGACCCGCACCCCCCGCUGUGGGGCACGAAAAGACGACCCGGCCGGGCUUGAGAUCACCGCCGAAAAAAAAAUGGUUCAGUCGCAUACGUGACGUGCGCAAGCGCUAUCGACACCUCCGCAUGGCACCGCGCAGACGGGGCCGCGGAGACAGCACCCUCGCGCUCGACCACCUCAUGGAGGAUGGGGUCACCGUUACCACGAAGCUGAGUGGCCAGUGCGUGGUCGAGCUCGCUGUCCGCUUUGGGGAGGGAUAUGGCCCGGCGCCGCUAGUGAUGGCUGGCACCCCCGUGUGCUCUUUCCACGAAGCGAACAGGAAACCACACCGCGCCGUGGUUGGAAAGUCAGCCGGAAAAGACCGUGCCCACAACAGCCGCAAAGAAGUGAAGAUGCGCGAGCUUCAGAGCGCCGCGCCGGCCUCCACCACUACGACAAGCGGAAAGCGCGCCGGGGAGGGAGGGCGAAUCGACCAUGCAUCCGCACCCACCACAACCCCACUACACAUACGCAAGCCACAUAGUAUACCGCUGAGAUAAGGCAGGUUCGAUACCUCGACUAGUAGCGAAGGCCACCAGGAAAGCUGCCUUUCCUGGUGAAGCCGUCUAUAGUUCAUUCUCGUCGCUAUAGCUGACACGACUGGAAGUCGCUCGUGAGAAGGAAGCCUGCGCGUCGCCAGAACAUUCCCCUCUCGGGGAUGUGGCCAUCAUCGAGCUUGAAAAGGGCGGCUUUGGAGGGUGGAUAGAGUCCUGCAGCGCCUUCACCUCCAGCAGCUUUCGAUCGCGGGCAAGCAUCCACGCUAUCCAUGUCCCCACAUGCACUGCACAAAACAGCAGUGAGACAGGGCGAGCGCCACCUCAGUGCGAGAGAGCAGGCCAACGCACCGGUGACGAUACUCCAACAGAGGUUCAAGCGGCAUCCGGCAGCCCCGCCCCGCCUGCCACUGAGACCCGGGCGCCACGUCUUUCAAACCUCCUAGGAUGAUGGGUGAGCGCGUGGUGGCACCUCAUGAAGCUCACUGCGGUUCCGCCCCGGGCGCCGACUAAGUUCUCUAUGACAGCGUCGAGGUCCUACCAGUGCACGGCAAGAGAGCGCUGGUGAACGUCUAGAACCAGAGCGUUGCCACCGGCUGCGCUCCUGCUGCAUGGAUAAAGUGUCGUAUGGUGCCCCUCCUAAAGCCAAGCAUGCCUCGCGAUAAUUCUGCGUCCUCGGGCCCCAGUGACCCGUGCCCUAACCGUAACCCUAACCCGUGCCCGUACCCCUGGAAGUUACUGGAGCGAAUGGUCUCGCGGCGACUACGCGACCAUCUAGAAGACAGAAUUUCGCCAUAGCACUCUGGCCUCCGUACUCACAAUUCCACCGUGGACCCUGUGGACUUGCCCCUUCGCAGAGCACCACAGCGCCAGCCAAGUGCCAAGACAGGGGCAGUGCUUGCGGAGCCCGCUCUCGCGGUCGACUCGCUAGAACGCAGCGCUAUCAUGGCGCUGGAGAAGUUCAAGCAUCGAGUCCGUGCCGCACCCGCGACAUCAUGAAUUCCUUGAACAGUUGCCGCACCCGUGUUCGGUUCCGCAAGACGACAGCGUAGAUGGCCAAGCUUACACGCCGAGCUCCACAACGAUCAGCUGUAGGCCCUUGUCUUCCUUGUGGCAAACUCGCUGGGUGUGGGGCUCAGCAGGAUCCCCGGGCUGCGCCCCGCCGUCUGCGCCCCGCCGUCUGCGCGGAUGGUCUCACACUCCUGGCACCCUCUGCAGGCAUGGCUAACAUAUGAGCCAUGCGGUCGUUCGCCCCCUGGAAGAGAGAGCGCUGGACACGGGAGCGCUUGGCAGAGCGGAUGGCUCACCCAAAACAAGGUGCACCCUCCUCGGUGUGCGACACCGCAACCCGCUGCCACCCUUUGUCGCACGAAAGUACUUGCAAGCGCAUCUCCACCCUCGGCCUCUCGGCGUGGACGUCCAGCCGAUGCGCAGCGUUGGCCAACACGGUGCAGAAGUAGCCGGGAAAAAAACGGCCCAGCCUCCACCUGCCAUGCAGAGGGUAGGCUGCCCGGGCGCGUGGGGCCCGUGAAAGGGUCCCCUACGCUGUAUCUACAUUGCAUUUUCCGCAUCAGCAGUGCUCUACGGCACUACCUUGUGGUGGGCCAGUGCUAGCGAAACGCCGCACAAGCCCUCAUGAGCACUUUCACACCGUGGCAGUCGCAGUCAUCGUAGGGACCCCCCAAAUUGCGACGGGCAGCCACACCUCAUUAAGGAGGCCCAUCUACAGCGCUUCAACUCCAUAGCUGGUUUUCGCCGCACACGCCGGAUGACGGUGCCGCCACGACCUUUUGCCAGGAGCCACCCGAGUGUGCAAGCAUCCACCCCGUGCGGAGCCGCGAAGGAGCACACACACACACACACACCACUCAUGUGCAGCGGCCGCGUGUGCGCCAACGCAUCGCUCCCUGGUGGUGGCUGCGGGUGGCCCCCUCCCCGAGACGAAGAAAAGCCGGCGGCAUGCCAGCAGCGACUCCCCCGCGUGGCGGAGCUCCCUCGCUCGCCGUGGGCAGAGGGUGCGGCGCAGACAGACAUCAAGUCAGGAGCGGUCGCACUGCCCCCUAGCCCCCACGCACGCAUAGGUGCAGCGACAAGAGGCUGCGGCCCCCUUGGUUGCGCCAUCGCGCUGCACGUGGCGCCGUGGAGCUGGGACGUGUCCUGCUGCGCGGAGAGCCUGACCAGCCACGACGCAGAGGGCCACGCGUGGUCGCUGUUACGGGCUGGCGCUCCCUCCUCGCGGUGCUCGACGCGGCCCCUGCAGGGGCGGAGGGUGGCGUAUCGCGGCGCGCUUGGCCAUCAUUCGUGGCGCUGCGGGCCCGCCGCGCGCGCCCCAUUGCCGCCUGUCUUUGGUCGUGGUGAGCUGGAGCGCGACGGCGACGCUGACGAGCUCGCGACAUCUGCACUGCCGGAGGAGCCAACGCCAAGCCGACAUCCCCUGCCACCCGCGCGACAGACGCGGUCCGCCUAUAUCGCGGCGCGCCGUCCGCACCUUCGCCUCCGUCUGGCGACGAGCGCGCUAGGCGCGUGGCCCGAUUCGGCGGCAGACGGUCCGUCCGAGACGCCCAGGAUGUGACCGUGGGGUGGCAGCGGCGGUGGGCGCGCUGUGGUUGCGCGUAUGCGUCCGUUGGAUGAGCUGUGCACGGUGACAUGGCAUACGGAUGGACGAACAGAUAUGCUUGUUUGCUGUGCCGGAGUGUGCAGGGUCGCUCUGCCUGCCCUUGUCGCGCCUCUCGCCGCCCUCACUCCUCCCCGUCUCCAUGGCGAGGCGAGGCCCUAACGCACCACGUUGCCUGCUUGUCGCCCCAGAAUAUAAAACAUGCAUAUACAGCGCCAAGCGUCCGAAGGAUCUCUCAAGGCCACCCGCGUGAAGCGGCAUCCCCGAGUGUGGGCCGAUGCGGCGGGCGCCUCCCCCCUGUGUCCUCGCAAGCGGUGUGUCUCGCCUGCACCUCCCCAAACGCUCUCUUCCUCAACGCCUCUCUCGCCCUCCACCGUCGCCGCGUGCUCUGACGAAUCUCUCAAG
rnacentral:misc_RNA from 1 species